AUGGGAAGAUGGAGAUGGAUGUUGAGGGAGUUUCUCCGCGCCCGGAGCCCAUCCCCCGCUCCCAAGGGGUUGGCGGAGCCUGCCAGGCGCCGCCACAGCCGCCCCAGCCCCAGCUGCCGCCGCAGCCGCUGGCUCAGGAUGAACUGCCCGGCGAGAGUGCCGGCGCUGAGGACAGCGACGAUCCCGAGACGAGACCCAACGGCGAGAAAGGAGAGAGCAAGAGAUACCAUGGACUUUAAGGUGAUGAAUACCACAAUGAGCUCACUACAAGAUCUCAAAGAUUCCAAGCCACUGGCUAUUCCAAAGCAUAAAGCCACCCUUCAGGAGAAGCGUUGGGAGGCAGGCUGAGGGGAGGUAAGGAAUCAUCCACUCUUCCCUCUGCCCCUUGACUCCAUCAGCCUUUCACUAUCAGAUUGUUUGGGCUCUUUCCUGAUGAGCAUUUUUCUUUGUGUUCUUCCUUAGGCCCUGAGUUUUUGCCAGAGGAUGGAUCACCCCUUUGGGUGUCCUGGGAGCCACUGAAGCAUAGUGAGGAAGGUGUUGCAGAUGCACAGGACAGAAACCCAGAAACUGGAACCAACAGGCACCUAAAGUUGACUCGCACCCAGCAUCCCUGCAGACUGAUGUUCUCUGAGCUGUAGUUCUUCACUGGACUGUUUUUCCUUUGCUAUCACCUGCCUAACACAUAGUGCUGGAUGCUUUUGACUGGUUGGAUUUCUUUUUUUUUUUUCCUGUAUUUUUUCUUUCCUUGAUUCUGGGAAUUAUAAAAAAAAAAUUGCUUUAAAAAGUAUUAUUCUGUGCUGAAAUUAGCCUUGUUUAUGAAGAAGUUUUAUCCCUAGGGAUUUCCUGAAUUGCAGCCCCAGGUUACCUGGUAAAUAGGGCUGUGUUGUUUGAUUUGUAUAGUACUGAUCUGUAGGUUAAAAUACAUUUCCUUUCUUUUGUUUCAUUCUUUUUUUAAAAAGUUUGGAUCCAGGUAGUGGCCUGAGUCACAUUUGCUUAGCUACUGAAGCGAUCUCAACGUGGUAUCGCUUAGAUUUGAAACAUAAUCAAACAUACAUUAUACCUGAGGCUCUUGCACACUAUUUGACGUAUAUGUUACACUACAAAGAAACACAAACCUUGUGGCUUGAAAUUUAAUUCCUGUUUGAUCCUGCAGCUAGAAUGCUAAAGAAAUUGUAAAUAUCAAAAGUGGCUUCAAAUACCCUGAAUGUAAGCUAGUCAACAGUAAGUGGAUGGUUUCAGAAUACCAUUUUCUAAGACAAAGCAGGAAUUAGAGAUCUACUGCCCACAUCCACAAUGUUGCUCAGGUCUGUCUGUGGAUCUGUCCAUUUUGGAGUAAAGAACAAGGCAUGCUUCUGUGAUUGUGCUUACGAAAACUGUGGUGUUUCCGAUUUAUGUUUUGUAAUUGUGCCUGCCUUGCAAUAAAACACCUUCAGUUGACUCAGCAAUAAGGUCUCUGUCAAUUUCCUGCAAAACUGUGUCUUUAGUAGCUUUCUAAGAAAGUCCAGUGUAGACCUAUCAGUGGUUGACCUGUUAGACAUUUCAGCUGGACCUAGCAUUAUUGCUCUUUCAGAAAUAGCACCAGAGCUGUCCAUUGUCUACACAUGUGGUCAGUUAUAUGGUCAGCUUCUCAAUUUUUCUUAUUACCAUCAGCUACAGAAAUCUCUAGUCACAGCCUAACCCUGUUACGUAGAUGUGCGGCCAUCUGCCAUCGUGUUCUAACUCUGGAGUCCCUAUUUAUUUCUGAGACUCUAGGACAAGCCAAAAACCCUCUGGACCUCAGUGUCUUCAUAAACAAAAUGGGGAUAAUGAUACUUCCUGUGAUUGUGGUGAUAAGUGCCUGUAAAAGGGCAUUACAUAGAUGGUACUUUGAACAUUGUAAAUUCAUUUGGAUGUGGCAAUACUCAAUGAAUGGUGGCUAUUUUAUUUGUUAAUAAAG
ensembl:lincRNA